rnacentral:misc_RNA from 1 species
GAUGAAGAACGUAGCGAAACGCGAUAUGUAAUGUGAAUUGCAGAAUUCAGUGAAUCAUCGAAUCUUUGAACGCACAUGGCGCCUUCCAGUAUCCUGGGAGGCAUGCCUGUCCGAGCGUCGUUUCAACCCUCGAGCCCCCGUGGCCCGGCGUUGGGGAUCUGCCACGGCAGGCCCCUAAAACCAGUGGCGGACCCGAAGGCCCUCUCCUUUGCGCAGUAGCAUCAGCCUCGCAUUGGGAUCCCUCGGCGUCCUGCCUCUAAACCCCCCACAAGUCCGCUCCGGCGGCACCAAGGUUGACCGCGGAUCAGGUAGGAAUACCCGCUGAACUUAAGCAUAUCAAUAAGCGGAGGA